rnacentral:rRNA from 1 species
GACGUAGGGCGCGAGCGUUGUCCGGAUUUAUUGGGCGUAAAGAGCGUGUAGGCGGCUAGAUAGGUCCGUUGUGAAAACUCGAGGCUCAACCUCGAGACGUCGAUGGAAACCAUCUGGCUAGAGUCCGGAAGAGGAGAGUGGAAUUCCUGGUGUAGCGGUGAAAUGCGCAGAUAUCAAGAGGAACACCUGAGGCGAAGGCGGGUUGCUAGGCUGACACUGACGCUGAGUGCGCGAAAGCCAGGGGAGCAAACGGG